UGUAAAUGAGUAAAACUAAAAGUGAAGCUCACGAUAUAUAAAGAAAGAAAUUCCGUAACAAUUAUUAUGUUAUGACAGUAUAAAUUAUUAGGCCGAUUAAUACUAGUUUUUAUGGGAAUGUUUAAGGGAAGCAAACAAUGAAUAAAACAUCAAGUGUGCGUACCAUUAACCUAGUUAAUAAACUUUUAUAUGUAAACCAUUUCGAAUAAUAACAGUUUUGUUAUAGUUUCUCAUUUAAACCAACGUUUUUUUAGCUCGAGAGCUUCCACUAAAUGAGAAAAUAAAAAAAGGGAUCCAGGAAUUAAAAUUGUUCUUAAUCAGAUGUUUAAAUGCAUUCGGGAACAAUGAGUCGUGUAGCGUACACUAGUAAAGGAAGUUUCAUUUUAAAGGAAGAAAGUAAUGACUCUUUCAACACAUUUUCAAGUGUUUUAAUGCUUUUUGUCAAUGUUGAAUGAAUACAGAAAGCGCAUCAACAGAUAUUAACUUAUUUAUUUACAGAUUUAUUUAAAACCGAUGCGAUUGGAAAAUUGCACCACGUUUACAUCGUAAAUACCUGUUCGUGCAUUAUGUGCUCUGCAUUUGGUCGGUAAUUAUUUGUAAUUUCUAAUGCAAUAGGGUUUUACCUUUCUUUCCAGUUUAAUUCGAUCUACAAUGGAGAUGGAGAUUGACAUAAAUAACUUCUGUACUAUUGACUACACUACCAAAGAUGGCUUUAACUUGAAAAUAACACAUGGGAAUCAAAAAGUAUAAGACAGCACCUACAGGAUGCUACGAUAACAACCACAGACAGGAUCCUCCGCACUUACUCCAAAGGGAGAAGGUGCAUUCCCCGCCAAUCCGACUGAUACACCACAUAGAAGUGGAAUCUUUGGAAAGAAUGGCCUCGUACCGUUUACACCCUAGGGAAAGUACUGAUUCUGUAAAAUACUUUAAUUAAGGUAACGUAAUCUUUGUGAUUUGUAUAAAAAAGUAUGAUCGGUUCUUUUUAAGAAGUUGCAUUACAUUUUUUUAUUGAAAGGAGGAUAUUCUUAAAGAAAUCGUCGGUGUAAAUUAACUACAAACAAAUUUGUAUCUUAAGUAAUAAUCAUUACAUCUAAAGGAAUUUUGGUUUUUUCCAUUCUUUUGGAAAUUAUAUAUAAUAUAUAUCCACUUUAAAUGGGAUUAGCCCUUUAAAUGAAGUUUAAAUAGGGGU